rnacentral:siRNA from 1 species
AGAGGCCCAGUAGACGAAACAGAA